GACAGAGGUCUCAAGCGUUGUUCGGAUUCAUUGGGCGUAAAGGGUGCGUAGGCGGCUCGGUAAGUCGGGUGUGAAAUCUCGGAGCUUAACUCCGAAACUGCAUUCGAUACUGCCGUGCUUGAGGACUGGAGAGGAGACUGGAAUUUACGGUGUAGCGGUGAAAUGCGUAGAUAUCGUAAGGAAGACCAGUGGCGAAGGCGGGUCUCUGGACAGUUCCUGACGCUGAGGCACGAAGGUCAGGGGAGCAAACGGG
rnacentral:rRNA from 1 species